rnacentral:lncRNA from 10 species
GCCAGGCGGAGGGGCUCCUCACUUCUCAGACGGGGCGGUUACCAGGCGGAGGGUCUCCUCACUUCUCAGACGGGGCGGCCGGGCAGAGACGCUCCUCACCUCCCAGAUGGGGCGGCGGGGCACAGGCGCUCCCCACAUCUCAGACGGUGGGCUGCCGGGCAGAGACGCUCCUCACUUCCUAGAUGGGAUGGCGGCCGGGAGGAGGCGCUCCUCACUUCCCAGAAGCCAAGUACAAGAAGCUGGAGAAGCGAUGAGAAACUUAUUUCUAUGGGACAGAGUCUUUUUUUUUUAAUGUGGAAGAAUGUCUUAUAAAACCUGAAUCCUGAGGCUGAUGAAUUGUGAAAAUUCCUCAAAAGGAAAUUAUGCUGGUCAUCACAGGAACAUCUCAACGUUCGAGUAAACUGGAGGACUGUGGCUAUUCCUGAACCUUCUUUGAGACAGAAUCCCUCAGAAUCUCACACUUAUAACUUCCUACCUUUUACUUGAAUGCUUUGCCAUAUUCAGGACAGAGACUCUCACAAAGUUCAGAAAACAGCUGGACUUACCAGUAAAAUCAAAUGAGAGGACCUAUUUUCUCUGGUAGUGGUUGAUUACUACAUUAUUUUCUUAAGUGGCUGGUUUUUUAGUUACUAUGUAAAUGGUCGUUUUUCUGUUAAUGAUGCUAAUGUGUUGUAAACAAGAUUCUAAAUUUAAAAAGGAAAACAAAACAAACUUGUUCUUUGCAGCUUAUCACCUUGUGAAUGUCGGUAACUUACUUUUCCAUAAUAUUGCAAAUAACAUAAAAUCUUAAAAUAAUUCCAAGCUGAGUCUUCUAGAUUGAGCAGAAAUGGUGAAAGGAGUAUUGAUAACUUGGCGUAUGUGAUGGGCCCCUCUUGUUUAUUUUCUAUGUGAGUCACAUUGACAUGCGAUCAGUUUGGGAAAUGUGAUGAAAACAAAGACUAGAUGGGUAUGUGUGUUUAUGUGUUGGGUAGGGAGGUGACGAUUGCCACUCAUAAAAUAAAGGAUUUUAUAAAAUACCUUC